UACGGGGGGAGCAAGCGUUGUUCGGAUUUACUGGGCGUAAAGGGCGCGUAGGCGGCCACCGCAAGUCGACUGUGAAAUCUCCGGGCUUAACCCGGAAAGGUCAGCCGAUACUGCGGGGCUAGAGUGCAGAAGGGGCAACUGGAAUUCUCGGUGUAGCGGUGAAAUGCGUAGAUAUCUGGAGGAACACCGGUGGCGAAGGCGGCAUCCUGGACCGAGAUUGACGCUGAGGCGCGAAAGCCAGGGGAGCAAACGGG
rnacentral:rRNA from 1 species